CCUACGGAGGCAGCAGUAAGGAAUAUUGGACAAUGGACGCAAGCCUGAUCCAGCCAUGCCGCGUGCAGGAUGAAGGCCCUCGGGUUGUAAACUGCUUUUGUACGGAACGAAAAGCCUCUUUCUAAUAAAGAGGGGUGAUGACGGUACCGUAAGAAUAAGCACCGGCUAACUACGUGCCAGCAGCCGCGGUAAUA
rnacentral:rRNA from 1 species